UCAUUUUGUGUAGAUUUUAUAUAAAUAGGGA
rnacentral:piRNA from 1 species